rnacentral:misc_RNA from 1 species
GGUCCGCAACAACUCAUNUGAGGUGUUGCGGACCAUGUUGUAACCGAUUGGUGGCUACUUUGUGCGGCCAACUGUCGUUGUGGCAGUCCUUUCACUUGCUCGCUCCUUGUAAUAUUUUGGAGAUCGAUCGUAAUAGUUGCUUGUGAUUGGAAUCCUUUUGUUGGUGGUAUUAACUUCGUUUGAUGUCUCGUGGAUUAGCCUCUAUGCCUGUCUUCAAGGCUUGGAGAUUGCUAUAUGGAAUGUGGCCCUUCCACCCUUGGCCUUUGGAGCUGCCACACGGCAUUCUCCUAUCUAAGGCUGUGGAAUGAGGGCCUCAUGAUAUUGUUGCAAAUGUGGCUCCUUCGAAAUCGGGUCUUGGUGUCGUGGCGCCUUUGCUCGAGUUGUGAUUUAUCCAAGAGGAUAGUGCCUUCAUCUUCAGUGCGACUUUGGUGCUUUCCCCUCCUGUCAUAUGAAAUGUAUGACUGUGGUGGGGUGAGAUCAUGGCUGCGUUGAGGACGUGCUACCUGGUUGAUCCUGCCAGUAGUCAUAUGGCUUGGUCUA